rnacentral:lncRNA from 10 species
UCAUGAGUUUUCUCUUCAGGGGUAAGGUUAGGGAACACCCAUGUACUAAAAAGGGAAAAAUCAGAUUAACCAGCAGGAUAAAUUCUUGCCAUCAUAAAAUUUUUGUUUGCUAAAAGGGGUCAAAAGCUUUUCCCCAAAUAUUAUUUUAGCAUUUGGCAUCAAAGGUUUUAUUAUCUCCCACCGAAUAUGCUCUAUCCUCCUUCCUAGUUGUGUGUCCUCAGGUAUAUUGCUGCUUCUGUGCCUCAGUUUCCUCAUCUGUAAAAUGGGGCUGUUGCGAGGACCCAAAGUGCCUGUAAACUGCCUGACACAUAAAGUGCUCAAUGCUACUGCAAACUGGCUCAGGGCACAGACUCUGCAGCCAGUCAGCUGGUGCUCAAGUCCCGUUCUGCCAUUUGCUGGCUGUGUGACUCUGAGCAUGUAACUUAACCUCUCUGUACUUCUUAUCUUGCUUAUCUGUAAAAUGGGCAUCUGAAAAGUGUCUGACUCACUGAGUUAGAAUGAAAUGUUAAUGCGUGUAAACUCUUAGAACAGAGCCAAGGGGCCGGGCAUGGAAAAUCACCCUGCUGCUCUUCGACUCAUCUGAGAUGGGUGCCCACCCUGCCCCUCCUGGUCCCCUCAGGUUUUAACUGCUUCCACCCAUUUUCCAGUGUCCAAAUUCCUCAACCUGUUUCCCCCCAUCCGCUGGACCACGGAGAUGAGAGCCAUGGGAGGGUGUGGGCAGAGGGAACCAUGGGCCCAGUUUCUCCAUCUGUGGUGCUGGCCGGGAGGGGAGGGGUGGUGGCCUCUGUCCCUCUGGCUGCCAAGCAACUGACACCCCCCACAGGUGGGAGGCAGGGGCCCCACCCGGUGCUAUGGAGGUUAGGUCAUCUUUCUGCCUUCCCUGGUGGCCAGAGCUUGGGUCUGUGAUCUAAUCAUGGCCAUUGACAGAUGGGGGUGGGGAAAGACAGCGUGAAAGGGUCCAAGAGAACGACAGGGAGACAGAACUCGGGUCCUUCCUGCCUUGGAGUCUCUGUUCCAUCCAGCUGGGCAGAUGCCUGGGUCCAUCCUGGUCGAUGGGGUGGGGAGCACCUAAGACCCCCGCUCCCCCCGGUUCUCUGGUCUUCCCUUCACAGCUUCCUUUGUCAGUGGCGAGGCUUCUUAGGACCCCUAAUUCAUGUCCAUGACUCCUGGGAGUCCACAUCUGCUCCUGCCAGACCCUGAGACUCCCCAGCAGCCUCUGACACCAUUGCUUAGUGUCCACACCUGCCCCCAGCCCCCAGCAUCUCCCCCACCUCCGUGUGCCUGGCACGUCCCCAGCGUGAUGACCCUGAUCCAAACUGUAACUAGAGUGGUGUCCCCUAUUUUAGCAGACUCCUGUGCUCAAGCGAUCCACAUGACUCGGCCUCCCCAAGUGCUGGGAUCACAGGCGUGAGCCCCCGUGCCCGGCCAGCCCUGGAUGUUCAUCACCUGCGUCUAUGGGCAUCUCUCCGUCACACUCCCUUUUGGAAGUUACUGUUUCUUUUUGGUCAAUUCAUUGCCUCUAACUUCAGAGCCCUACUCACGUGUAUUUAUCCCCCUUGAUUCCCCAAAACUUAUCGGCUUACCCAGACCUUCCCCCAUUAAAUGCUUUCCCUCCCUCCCAUGGCCCUUCCGUUUUCCCGAGCCCAGCUCUGUGGCGUUGAUCUGCUCAAAGUUUUGGUACUUGUGGUGGGUGUGCCUGAGUCUCUUUGUUCUGACUUUACUGAGACAUUGAUCGCCGUAAAGGUCCCAUCUCUUGCAG